UAACUAUGGUUGAGUUAUGGGUCAGU
rnacentral:piRNA from 1 species